ACGGAAAACGAGGACGGCAAAGGCCGGAUCAGAAGAGAAGGUUCGACCCCCUGUCACGGUUUCCUGCACGGUAAUCGGAUACCCACGUGUCGCCUGUCUCGACGGGCACCUACGAGCGGGAGGUUGCCGGUCCCAUGGAGCUGGAGAGUUUUGUGGGAGUGCCGGCUGAAUCUCAAUGACGACUCCACUAUGGCACGAUCUGAUCAUUCGGUUACCGUGCGGAGGCGGCGGACGAGAUGUUCGCCGCUAUUCCACAUUUU
rnacentral:misc_RNA from 1 species